UAGUUGUAUAUCUUGGCAAUGUCUUAACUUUUGUAUUUUUUGAUGUUUUUUUUAUGAUUGUACCUGACUCGAAAAUGUGUUUGCUUCACAUCUGCUAUAGCUUAAUGGCUCCCACAACACCUUGAUGAUUCUUAACAAUAGGAGAAUGAAGAUGAUGCUAAAAAAAUAAGGAUCUCGAUUCAUCUAAAAAUAAGACUAAAGUAUAUUCUUCGAGUGACCGAACUGAAGCUUGACAAGGGUAAAGGAAAACAAAAAAUUUCCUCAACCAAGUCUGAAAAAUUGCCCAAGGUUGAGAACUUGAUGAAGGAUGCCAUGAAGUCACUCCUGAAGGGCACCCUUAAAGUCGAUAUUACUCCUGGUAGUCCUCAAGAAACAUCUAAAGAAAAAAUUCAAAAGGUAGGUGUUUACGAAUCAACAUAUCACUAGGGUUUUCUAUGUUCGAUUACCUUAUAUCGAAUUAUUGUUACUCUACGCCUUGCAAGAUGUGUAUAUCAUUAUCACCUCUUCUUCUUGAGAUGUUUC